UACGUAGGGGCCUAGCGUUGUCCGGAUUUAUUGGGCGUAAAGAGCUCGUAGGCGGUUCGGCAAGUCAGCUGUGAAAUCUCCACGCUUAACGUGGAGGGGUCAGCUGAUACUGCCGUGACUCGAGUCCGGUAGGGGAGUGUGGAAUUCCCGGUGUAGCGGUGAAAUGCGCAGAUAUCGGGAGGAAUACCAGUGGCGAAGGCGGCCUUCUGGACGGAUACUGACGCUGAGGCGCGAAAGCCAGGGGAGCAAACGGG
rnacentral:rRNA from 1 species